rnacentral:rRNA from 1 species
GAUGAACGCUGGCGGCGUGCUUAAUACAUGCAAGUCGAACGAACAGACCCGGCUCUUGCGCCUCUCUCGUUUGCGGCGCGCGUGUGAAACACACGUGUAUCCCCCACCUGUCAGUCUGGUAUCUCCUCGGGACACCGGCGCUAAUACCGUAUAAUCUAUUGAUCCGCAUUGUUCGUUGGUAAAUGUCGGUUUUGCUGUCUCGACUCGCUGGUUCCGCGCCGCAUUAGCUAGUUGUUAAGGUAACGGCUUACCAAGGCUACGAUGCGUAGCCGACCUGAGAGGGUGAUCGGCCACACUGGAACUUAAACACGGUCAAGACGCCUACGGGAGGCAGCAGUAGGGAAUCUGCCGCAAUGGGCGAAAGCAUGACGGAGCAACGCCGCGUGAGUGAUGAAGGUCUUCGGAUCGUAAAACCCGGUUAUGAGGGAAGAACAAAUGUGGAAGGAAAUAUGCACUGAUUGACGGUACCGAGUCAGAAAGCCACGGCUAACUACGUG